GCUCUCAGAUAAAUUAAGGGCGUAUGGUGGAUGCCUUGACAUCAAAAAGCGAUGAAGGACGCGGCGUAGCUGCGAUAAGCUUCGGGGAGGAGCGUAGCAUCCUAUGAUCCGGAGAUUUCCGAAUGGGGAAACCUUUUUGCGUAAAACGCAAAAGGCUCCGACCGUAAGUGUUGGAGCAGCAUACCCGGCGAAGUGAAACAUCUCAGUAGCCGGAGGAACAGAGAAAAACUUUUAUUCUCUUAGUAGCGGCGAGCGAAAAGGGAAGAGCCUAAACCGAGCAUAUAAUUUAUUAUGUGCUUGGGGUUGUAAGAUGAAGGAAUUUUGUGUCCAGCUGUAAUUUUUAAAAAUUACAGCCGGGUACGAAGAUUGGUUACAAAUUAUUUUGGUAGCAGAAGUGGCUGGAAAGCCGCGCCAUAGAAGGUGAUAGCCCUGUAGGCGAAACCGAAAUAACCAAUUUCUUCAAUCUUGAGUACCUCGACACAUGAAAACGUCGAGGGAAGCAGGGAGAACUAUCUCCCAAGGCUAAAUAUUUUUGAUGAUCGAUAGUGAACAAGUACCGUGAGGGAAAGGUGAAAAGUAGGCCGGAGAGGCCGGUGAAAUAGAACCUGAAACCAUAUGUCUACAAGGAACUAAAGUCCGCAAGGACAAUAGUGUGCCUAUUGAAGAAUGAGCCAACGAGUUAUUAUGCAUUGCUAGUUUAAGUCGCCUUAGGCGACGAAAGCAUAGGGAAACCGAGUGUUAAAAGCGCGUAAGCAGUACAUAAUAGACCCGAAGCCGGGUGAGCUUGCCCUGGCCAGGAUGAAAGCCGAUGAAAAUCGGCUGGAGGUCCGAACCGGUGAGUUGUUCAACACUCUCGGAUGAGCUGGGGUAAGGAGUGAAAAGCUAAUCGAACUCGGUAAUAGCUGGUUCUCUCCGAAACAGUUUUAGGACUGGCGGCUAGAGAUAUUUACGCGGGGGUAGAGCUACUGGUUCAGGGGUAAAGGGGGAAACCUCAGCCCUCGAGUCAAACUCCGAAUACCGCGUAAAACGUCUAGCUAGUUAGACCGUGGGGGCUAAGCUCCAUGGUCGAAAGGGAAACAGCCCUGACCAUCGUCUAAGGUCCCUAAAUUUUUGCUAAGUGUAAAAGGCAGUGAUCAACCAUAAACAGAUAGAAGGUUGGCUUAGAGGUAGCCAUCCUUUAAAGAGUGUGUAACAACUCACUAUUCGACGGUUGGUUGCGCCAAAAAUGUAACGGGGCUAAGCAAAAUACCGAAGACAUGGAUGCCUUGUGCUUCGCACAAGGACUAAAAAACCCAUGAACUUAUGAACCCAAGAACUUUUUGUUCUUAAGUUCUUUUGUUCUUUCGUUUUUUUGUUCUCGCGCGGAGCGCGAGGCGUGGUAGGAGAGCAUUCUUUAUGCGUUGAAGUUGUACCCGCGAGGGGCGAUGGAGCGUAAGGAAGAGAGAAUGUUGGCAUAAGUAACCACAAGUCCGAUGAGAAAUCGGACCCCCGAAAAUCCAAGGUUUCCGUGGCAAUGGCAAUCAACCACGGGUUAGGCGGUCCUAAGGCAAUGGCGAAAGCCGCAGCUGAAGGGUAGCCGGUUAAUAUUCCGGCCCUGUCUAAAGAGCGUGAUGGAGUGACGAAAGAAACAAGUCCGAACGUUUUAAUGGUUUAACGUUUACGAUGUCAAGAAUUCUCCGACUAGCAAAUCUGUCGGGGUGCUUUUAAUGGCAAAAUUCGGAUAUCGGAAAAAGGCGCGGUUUUUAUCGUGCCAAUUUGGGCGAAGAGCUUUCCGAGAAAAACUUCUAAGCAUAUCUUUAGGCAUCCGUACCGGAAACCGACACAGGUGGAUAGGGCGAGAAGCCCAAGGGGAACGAGUGAUUCUUCGUUAAGGAACUCGGCAAAAAAGCGGCCGUAAGUUAGCGAUAAGGCCUGCCCACCUUGUGCGUGGCACAAGAACUAAAAAACUAAAGAACCUAUAAACCAAAGAACAACUUGUUCUUACGUUUUUACGUUCAUGUGUUUUUCAGUUCUCGCGCUGCGCGCGAGGCGGGCUGCAACAAAAGUAUCCCUGGCGACUGUUUACCAAAAACACAGCUCCCUGCGAACUCGUAAGAGGAUGUAUAGGGGGUGACGCCUGACCGAUGCGAGAAGGUUAACGUUGGCGGUUACAUUGGUUUAUUCCGGUGUGGCUGACUGACCGAAGCCCUCGUCAAUGUCAGCGAUAACUAUAAUCGUUCUAAGGUAGCGCAAUUCCUUUUCGGGUAAGUUCCGAAGCGCACGAAUGGCGUAACGACUGGGGAACUGUCUCAACGAAGAGCUCGGUGAAAAUGCGAUUCCAGUGAAGACGCUGGAUACCUGCAGCGGGACGAAAAGACCCCGGAAGCUUUACUGCAGCUUGAUAUUGGUUUUAGAGUUUUGAUGCGUAGCGUAGUGGGGAGAGAUUGAUGGGCUGAUUUCGGUUGGCCCGGACUCGUCAAUGAAACACCCAUCUUUAGAACUUUAAAAUCUAACCUCAACGGCAAAAACGUUGAGAGACAGUGUCUGGCAGGCAGUUUAAAUGGGGCGUUUUCCUCCAAAAAAGUAACGGAGGAGUUUAUUAAGGUCGGCUUAGUCCCGAUGGAAACGGGACUGGACGUGUAAAGGCACAAGCCGGCUUGACUGCGAGACUGACAAGUCGAGCAGGCGCGAAAGCGGAACUUAGUGACCCGACGAUACAUUAUAGAAUGGUCGGAGACACCGGAUAAAAGCUACUCCGGGGAUAACAGGCUAGUCUCCCCCGAGCGUCCACAGCGACGGGGAGGUUCGGCACCUCGAUGUCGGCUCGCCUUAGCGCGGGGGUGAAGAAGCUCCCAAGCGUUUGGCUGUUCGCCAAUUAAAAAGGCACGCGAGCUGGGUUCAAACCGUCAACAAAAAAGAACCCAGAGGAGACAUCAAACACGGCGGCUUUCGUGAGAAAUCACGAUCGAAAAAAUCAACUCAUAUCGGUGAAGUCCUACUAUGAUUUUAACCUGUCAUAUGGUAGGAUAAUACCGAGGGAAGUUGUGUAUGAAGACCAUUUCGUUAAUGCAAAAAGCAUAUAUCGCAGGAUUUCUUGAUGGGGACGGAAGUAUUUAUGUACGGAUGAAACCCAACGACACUUAUCGUUAUGGGUUUCAAAUCGCUCCGUACGUCGUGCUUUUUCAAUCCCAGAAAGAUAGCGAGAAUUUUAAGAAAAUCUGUUCGCUGAUUGACCUGGGAUAUAUUCGGGAACGCAAUGACGGCAUUCUUGAAUAUAUUAUCGGUAAAGAAGAUUCAAUCAGAGGAUUUCUUGAAAUGGUAACCCCCUUUCUGAUUCUUAAGAAAGAACAGGCAAAUCUUAUGAUUAAAAUCCUCGAUGCGAAAGCGAAAGUCCAAGAUAAAAAUGACUUUCAUGCGUUGGCGAAGUUGGUGGAUCGUUUCCGAGAAUUGAAUUAUUCAAAAAAACGGAAACGAUAUACAUUAACCCCGUAGAGACUUCUGUCGCCUAAGGCGACAGAGAUGGACAUGAAUUUUGUCCAUAAUACGUUGAUAUGCCAGAUUUCAGAAUUAGGAUUUCGGAUAUCAGACAUCCGAUUUCCGACAUCUGAUUUCGGGUAUGUGGUAUAGUCCAAUCCCGUUAGUAAUAACGGAAAAGAUUUCUAGAUUCUAUUUUCUAGAUUCUAAAAUAUGCGUGAGACAGGUUGGUCUCUAUCUGCUGCAGGCGUUAACAUUUGAGGGGAGUCGGCCCUAGUACGAGAGGACCGGGCUGAACGCACCUCUGGUCUACCAGCUUUGCUACCAAGUGAAGCGCUGGGUAGCUAUGUGCGGAAAGGAUAAGCGCUGAAAGCAUCUAAGCGCGAAGCCAACCCCAAGAUUAGAUGUACUCUCCCUGGAAGAUUACCAGGUUGAUAGGUUCUAGGUGUAAGGCCGGUAACGGUUUUAGCCGAGGAAUACUAAUAGAGAGGAACUGAGAGCUC
rfam:Parcubacteria bacterium GW2011_GWB1_45_9 TX23_C0010, whole genome shotgun sequence.